rnacentral:rRNA from 1 species
GAUGAACGCUGGCGGCGUGCCUAAUACAUGCAAGUCGAGCGAACGGACGAGAAGCUUGCUCCUCUGAUGUUAGCGGCGAACGGGUGAGUAACACAUGCAUAACCUACCUAUAAGACUGGGAUAACUUCGGGAAACCACAUCUAAUACUAGAUCAUAUUUCGUACCGCAUGGUUCAAAAGUGAAAGACGGUCUUGCUGUCACUUAUAGAUGGAGCCGCGCUGCAUUAGCUAGUUGGUAAGGUAACGGCCUACCAAGGCAACGAUGCAUAGCCGAUCUGAGAGGAUGAUCAGCCACACUGGAACUGAGACACGGUCCAGACUCCUACGGGAGGCAGCAGUAGGGAAUAUUGCGCAAUGGGCGAAAGCCUGAUCGAGCCACGCCGCGUGAGUGAUGAAGGUCUUCGGAUCGUAAAACUCUGUUAUUAGGGAAGAACAUAUGUGUAUGUAACUGCGCACGUCUUGACGGUACCUAAACAGAAAGCAACGGCUAACUUCGUG